CUUGGCUGCAGGCCACGCCGUGCCUGGCUGAGCUGCCCCCGGAGCUGUCAACACGGGUGUGCGUGCUGGUCCACGCUGGGUGGUCAUUGGAGAGUUUGCCGCUGCUGACCAGCUGGCCGUCAGUCCUGGAGCACCGAGAGGAGUGGAGGAUGCACAAGGACUGCAGUGGAGACGCUGCUGUCCCCCUCCCCUGAGCCCACUGGGACCUCUGGCUUUGCUGGCUGCGUGUGGUCCUGCCACACACUGACUGGCUCCCACUCCCAUGGGGCUAUGCCAAGGAAGGAGAACCAUCCCAAUGGGAGGAUGGAAUCCCAGCAGACACCUUUCAUUCUUUCCUGGAGACACCCCCAGCAAGUGAGAAGAUGACGUUAUUAUUUCUUAAUAUAUGGAUUUUUUUUCUAAUUACAAAGAAACCACACAAAUGACCCGUAGAAAACUUGGAAAACAGGAACACACAAAGAUGGCUGUAAAAAGCCCCCAUAAUCCAAGUUAACCGCGGUUAACAUAUUGGUGUAUUUCCUUCUAUCCUUUUUUUCUUUAAGUAGUAGCCCAAGGCCAUGUGAACGAUCUGGGCUUAAGAUCUAUCUUUUGACUUUAAUUAUGUGUAGUUGGACUCUCUAAGAC
rnacentral:lncRNA from 1 species